rnacentral:ribozyme from 1 species
ACCAAGGAAGAAAACUGCCCCGUCAGACCAAAACAAACCGAAACAAAUGGCCAAACGUAACCUCUCCGGUGCUCUCCAUCCUUCUUCUGGCCUCUCCGUU